rnacentral:rRNA from 1 species
AGAGUUUGAUCCUGGCUCAGACGAACGCUGGCGGUAGGCCUAACACAUGCAAGUCGAACGGUAACGGACCGCUGGGAUUCCUUCGGGAUGACCUUGGUGCCGACGAGUGGCGGACGGGUGAGUAACACGUAGGAAUCUGCCCAACAGUGGGGGACAACCCGGAGAAAUCCGGGCUAAUACCGCAUACGCCCUACGGGGGAAAGCGGGGGAUCUUCGGACCUUGCGCUGUUGGAGGAGCCUGCGUCGGAUUAGCUUGUUGGUGAGGUAAAGGCUCACCAAGGCUACGAUCCGUAGCUGGUCUGAGAGGAUGAUCAGCCACACUGGGACUGAGACACGGCCCAGACUCCUACGGGAGGCAGCAGUGGGGAAUAUUGCACAAUGGGCGAAAGCCUGAUGCAGCCAUACCGCGUGGGUGAAGAAGGCCUUAGCGUUGUAAAGCCCUUUCAGCAGGGAAGAAGGGUGCGAGGUUAAUACCCUCGUAUUUUGACGGUACCUGCAGAAGAGCACCGGCUAACUCCGUGCCAGCAGCCGCGGUAAUACGAGAGCGGUGCAAAUCGUUAAUCGGAAUUACUGGGCGUAAAGCGCGCGUAGGCGGUCUGCGUCCAGUCAGAUGUGAAAGCCCCGGGCUCAACCCUG